GACGAACGCUGGCGGCGUGCUUAACACAUGCAAGUCGAACGGAAAGGCCCUGCUUUUGGGGGGUGCUCGAGUGGCGAACGGGUGAGUAACACGUGAGUAACCUGCCCUUGACUUUGGGAUAACUUCAGGAAACUGGGGCUAAUACCGGAUAGGAGCUCCUGCUGCAUGGUGGGGGUUGGAAAGUUUCGGCGGUUGGGGAUGGACUCGCGGCUUAUCAGCUUGUUGGUGGGGUAGUGGCUUACCAAGGCUUUGACGGGUAGCCGGCCUGAGAGGGUGACCGGCCACAUUGGGACUGAGAUACGGCCCAGACUCCUACGGGAGGCAGCAGUGGGGAAUAUUGCACAAUGGGCGGAAGCCUGAUGCAGCAACGCCGCGUGCGGGAUGACGGCCUUCGGGUUGUAAACCGCUUUCGCCUGUGACGAAGCGUGAGUGACGGUAAUGGGUAAAGAAGCACCGGCUAACUACGUGCCAGCAGCCGCGGUGAUACGUAGGGUGCGAGCGUUGUCCGGAUUUAUUGGGCGUAAAGGGCUCGUAGGUGGUUGAUCGCGUCGGAAGUGUAAUCUUGGGGCUUAACCCCUGAGCGUGCUUUCGAUACGGGUUGACUUGAGGAAGGUAGGGGGAAAUGGGAAUUCCUGGUGGAGCGGUGGAAUGCGCAGAUAUCAGGAGGAACACCAGUGGCGAAGGCGGUUCUCUGGGCCUUUCCUGACGCUGAGGAGCGAAAGCGUGGGGAGCGAACAGGCUUAGAUACCCUGGUAGUCCACGCUGUAAACGGUGGGUACUAGGUGUGGGGUCCAUUCCACGGGUUCCGUGCCGUAGCUAACGCUUUAAGUACCCCGCCUGGGGAGUACGGCCGCAAGGCUAAAACUCAAAGGAAUUGACGGGGCCCCGCACAAGCGGCGGAGCAUGCGGAUUAAUUCGAUGCAACGCGUAGAACCUUACCCGGGUUUGACAUGGAUCGGGAGUGCUCAGAGAUGGGUGUGCCUCUUUUGGGGUCGGUUCACAGGUGGUGCAUGCCUGUCGUCAGCUCGUGUCGUGAGAUGUUGGGUUGAGUCCCGCAACGAGCGCAACCCUUGUUCACUGUUGCCAGCACGUUAUGGUGGGGACUCAGUGGAGACCGCCGGGGUCAACUCGGAGGAAGGUGGGGAUGACGUCAAGUCAUCAUGCCCCUUAUGUCCAGGGCUUCACGCAUGCUACAAUGGCUGGUACAGAGAGUGGCGAGCCUGUGAGGGUGAGCGAAUCUCGGAAAGCCGGUCUCAGUUCGGAUUGGGGUCUGCAACUCGACCUCAUGAAGUCGGAGUCGCUAGUAAUCGCAGACCAGCAACGCUGCGGUGAAUACGUUCCCGGGGCU
rnacentral:rRNA from 1 species